UCCCGAUGCUAUUUCUAGAGAUAGAAAGUUACUUCGGUACACCGGUGACAGGUGGUGCAUGGUUGUCGUCAGCUCGUGUCGUGAGAUGUUGGGUUAAGUCCCGCAACGAGCGCAACCCCUAUUGUUAGUUGCCAUCAUUCAGUUUGGGCACUCUAGCGAGACUGCCGGUAAUAAACCGGAGGAAGGUGGGGAUGACGUCAAAUCAUCAUGCCCCUUAUGACCUGGGCUACACACGUGCUACAAUGGUUGGUACAACGAGUUGCGAGUCGGUGACGGCGAGCUAAUCUCUUAAAGCCAAUCUCAGUUCGGAUUGUAGGCUGCAACUCGCCUACAUGAAGUCGGAAUCGCUAGUAAUCGCGGAUCAGCACGCCGCGGUCGAAUACGUUCCGGGCCUU
rnacentral:rRNA from 1 species